rnacentral:rRNA from 1 species
ACUCCUACGGGAGGCAGCAGUGAGGAAUAUUGGACAAUGGGCGGGAGCCUGAUCCAGCCAUGCCGCGUGCAGGAAGACUGCCCUAUGGGUUGUAAACUGCUUUUAUACGGGAAGAAACACUCCCUCGUGAGGGAAUUUGACGGUACCGUAAGAAUAAGGAUCGGCUAACUCCGUGCCAGCAGCCGCGGUCAUACGGAGGAUCCAAGCGUUAUCCGGAAUUACUGGGCGUAAAGAGUUGUGUAGGUGGCAAAGUAAGUGAAUGAUGAAAUCGUGCGGCUCAACCGCAUACCCAUCAUUUAAACUGCUUAGCUAGAGAUUGGAAGAGGUUGCUAGAAUUCCUGGUGUAGGGGUGAAAUCCGUAGAUAUCAGGAGGAAUACCGAUGGCGUAGGCAGGCAACUGGUCCAAUUCUGACACUCAGACACGAAAGCAUGGGUAGCGAUCGGGAUUAGAUACCCUGGUAGGCUCU